CCCCCCCAGGGUGGAACCUGCGGGCUUAAAUUGACGCCACCCGGGGAAAACUCACCAGGGUCCCAGACACAGUGAGGAUUGACAAGAUUUGAGAGCUCUUUCUUGAUUCUGUGGGUGGUGGUGCAUGGCCGUUCUUAGUUGGUGGAGUGAUUUGUCUGCUUAAUUGCGAUAACGAACGAGACCU
rnacentral:rRNA from 1 species